rnacentral:tRNA from 1 species
UCCCCAGUGGUCCAGUGGUUAAGACACACUGCUUCCAGUGCAGGGGGCAGUGGGUUCAAUCCCUAGUUGGGGAA